CACUCCGUCUGAUGGAAGCUGAAGUGAAGCACGGAGCUCCUUUUCUACAGACCUGCUGAGGACAGAAGAGAGCUGCACACUGAGGAAGUUCAUGUCUACAAGAUCACAGGUGGUUAUGAAGGUGUGAAGGUGUGGACUCUGCUAUGAAUCAGGCUGAGGACCCAGAGGACAGUGUCCCUCCCUCUGAAGCCCCUCUGUGGGGGGGACAUGACAGACAGACCAAAGCUCAGAGGACCCAUCAGAGACCUGGACCUGAUCC